UMAGGAGACUCUGAGCAGCGAUGCCGCGUGAGUGAAGAAGGCCCUUGGGUUGUAAAGCUCUUUCGUCGGGGAAGAAAAUGACUGUACCCGAAUAAGAAGGUCCGGCUAACUUCGUGCCAGCAGCCGCGGUAAUACGAGGGGACCUAGCGUAGUUCGGAAUUACUGGGCUUAAAGAGUUCGUAGGUGGUUAAAAAAGUUGGUGGUGAAAUCCCAGAGCUUAACUCUGGAACUGCCAUCAAAACUUUUUAGCUAGAGUUUGAUAGAGGAAAGCAGAAUUUCUAGUGUAGAGGUGAAAUUCGUAGAUAUUAGAAAGAAUACCAAUUGCGAAGGCAGCUUUCUGGAUCAUUACUGACACUGAGGAACGAAAGCAUGGGUAGCGAAGAGGAUUAGAUACCCUCGUAGUCCAUGCCGUAAACGAUGUGUGUUAGAUGUUGGAAAUUUAUUUUCAGUAUCACAGCGAAAGCAAUAAACACACCGCCUGGGGAGUACGACCGCAAGGUUAAAACUCAAAUGAAUUGACGGGGACCCGCACAAGUAGUGGAGCAUGUGGUUUAAUUCGAAGAUACGCGCAGAACCUUACCAACACUUGACAUGUUCGUCGCGACUCUAAGAGAUUAGAGUUUUCGGUUCGGCCGGACGAAACACAGGUGCUGCAUGGCUGUCGUCAGCUCGUGUCGUGAGAUGUUGGGUUAAGUCCCGCAACGAGCGCAACCCUCACUUUUAGUUGCCAUCAUUUAGUUGGGCACUCUGAAAGAACUGCCAGUGAUAAGCUGGAGGAAGGUGGGAUGA
rnacentral:rRNA from 1 species